rnacentral:rRNA from 1 species
UACGAAGGGGGCUAGCGUUGCUCGGAAUCACUGGGCGUAAAGCGCACGUAGGCGGCUUUCUAAGUCAGGGGUGAAAUCCUGGAGCUCAACUCCAGAACUGCCCUUGAUACUGGAAGCUUGAGUUCGGGAGAGGUGAGUGGAACUGCGAGUGUAGAGGUGAAAUUCGUAGAUAUUCGCAAGAACACCAGUGGCGAAGGCGGCUCACUGGCCCGAUACUGACGCUGAGGUGCGAAAGCGUGGGGAGCAAACAGGG